rnacentral:rRNA from 1 species
ACCAGACUCCUACGGGAGGCAGCAGUGAGGAAUAUUGGUCAAUGGGCGAGAGCCUGAACCAGCCAAGUCGCGUGAGGGAAGACGGUCCUAUGGAUUGUAAACCUCUUUAGGCGGGGAGCAAUGCCGGGCACGCGUGUCCGGAGGGAGAGUACCCGCAGAAUAAGCAUCGGCUAACUCCGUGCCAGCAGCCGCGGUAAUACGGAGGAUGCGAGCGUUAUCCGGAUUUAUUGGGUUUAAAGGGAGCGUAGGCCGGUCUUUAAGCGUGCGGUGAAAUUUUGUGGCUCAACCAUGAGAGUGCGGCGCGAACUGGAGACCUUGAGUGCGCGGAAGGCAGGCGGAAUUCGUGGUGUAGCGGUGAAAUGCUUAGAUAUCACGAAGAACCCCGAUUGCGAAGGCAGCCUGCCGCAGCGUUACUGACGCUGAAGCUCGAAAGCGCGGGUAUCGAACAGGAUUAGAUACCCGUGUA